rnacentral:rRNA from 1 species
AUACGUAGGGUGCGAGCGUUGUCCGGAAUUACUGGGCGUAAAGAGCUCGUAGGUGGUUUGUCGCGUCGUCUGUGAAAUUCCGGGGCUUAACUCCGGGCGUGCAGGCGAUACGGGCAUAACUUGAGUACUGUAGGGGAGACUGGAAUUCCUGGUGUAGCGGUGAAAUGCGCAGAUAUAAGGAGGAACACCGGUGGCGAAGGCGGGUCUCGGGGCAGUAACUGACGCUGAGGAGCGAAAGCAUGGGUAGCGAACAGGAUUAGAUACCCUGGUAGUCCAUGCCGUAAACGGUGGGCGCUAGGUGUAGGGGUCUUCCACGAUUUCUGUGCCGUAGCUAACGCAUUAAGCGCCCCGCCUGGGGAGUACGGCCGCAAGGCUAAAACUCAAAUGAAUUGACGGGG